AGUGAACGCUGGCGGUAGGCCUAACACAUGCAAGUCGAACGGCCGCACAGUAAGAGCUUGCUCUUACGGGUGGCGAGUGGCGGACGGGUGAGGAAUACAUCGGAAUCUACUUUUUCGUGGGGGAUAACGUAGGGAAACUUACGCUAAUACCGCAUACGACCUACGGGUGAAAGCAGGGGAUCUUCGGACCUUGCGCGAUUGAAUGAGCCGAUGUCGGAUUAGCUAGUUGGCGGGGUAAAGGCCCACCAAGGCGACGAUCCGUAGCUGGUCUGAGAGGAUGAUCAGCCACACUGGAACUGAGACACGGUCCAGACUCCUACGGGAGGCAGCAGUGGGGAAUAUUGGACAAUGGGCGCAAGCCUGAUCCAGCCAUACCGCGUGGGUGAAGAAGGCCUUCGGGUUGUAAAGCCCUUUUGUUGGGAAAGAAAAGCAGCAUGUUAAUACCCCGCUGUUCUGACGGUACCCAAAGAAUAAGCACCGGCUAACUUCGUG
rnacentral:rRNA from 1 species